GUGAGUUGGAGCCUGAGAUCUGUGGUU
rnacentral:piRNA from 1 species